UGGAAACUUAUUUGGAAGAGUAAAGCUCCACCGAGGGUGGCUUUUUUCGUAUGGACGGCAGUUAUGGGGAAAAUUCUAACAUUGGACAACCUACGGAAGAAGAACAUCAUUGUGACGGAAUGGUGUUGUAUGUGCAAGAAGAGUGGCGAAUCUAUUGAUCACCUUUUAGUGCAUUGCGAAACUGCUGUUGAGGUAUGGAACAUGAUUCUCCAACUCUUUGGUAUAACGUGGGUGAUGCCUGGGAGUUUGAAGGAAUGCUUGGGGAGUUGGGGAGGGCAAAGGGGAAAGCGGACAGUCAUGUACAUUUGGAGGAUGGCUCCUUUGUGUGUAAUGUGGUCAUUAUGGAGAGAAAGGAAUGCGCGGAGCUUUGAGGAUCGUGAAAUGGGAAUUAUAGAAUUGAAGAAAAGGGUGAUCCAAACACUCUACUCUUGGAGGGUCAUGGGGUUUUCUUCGCAAGCUACAACGCUUACGGAGUUUAUCGAUCUAUGUGCGUCUUUUUCAGUUUGAAGCUCGUGUAGUGGGCUCUUUUGUAUACUUCCUGUGUACAUGGGUUGCGCCCCUUGCGCUUUUUAUAUAAUGCCUUUUACUUAUCAAAAAAAAAUUAAAAUGUGAAAUUGAUUACGUUUUCAAGUGGGACUGUGGGAGUGAUUGACUGAUUGACUAUCUUAGGCUGGUUUUUACUUUCUGAUGAUUAUGAUGUGUGGUUUUCUUGCAGGUAUCGUGGAAAAAGGAUGAGGAUAGACUAUUUUGUAGUUUCAGAGAAACUCAAAGAUAGGAUUGUUGCAUGUGAGAUACAUGGGAAAGGGAUUGAAUUACAAGGUUUUUAUGGAAGCGAUCAUUGCCCCAUUACAUUUGAGCUUUCACAAGCAUGUCCCAACGCCAAGCAUGGCGAAGCUUCCGUGUAGAAGUUUGUAUGUGCCCCGUUUUAAAGAUGCUGCCAUUCUCAACAAGAAGCCUUCUUGGUGAAUGUAUCAAAUGGCAACCUCUGAGGUAGUUUUUUGUGAUGCUUCUCUUAUAUUUGUAGCUAAGGACCAACUAGAGAUGCACAUGGCAGCUAUUACAUUAAUUGGGAAUGCUGGUUUUACUGUGUUAAUAUGAUAAAAGUGGAA